rnacentral:rRNA from 1 species
GAUCCUGCUCAGGAUGAACGCUAGCGACAGGCUUAACACAUGCAAGUCGAGGGGCAUCAUGAGGUAGCAAUACCUUGAUGGCGACCGGCGCACGGGUGAGUAACGCGUAUGCAACCUGCCUGAUACCGGGGUAUAGCCCAUGGAAACGUGGAUUAACACCCCAUAGUACUUUUAUCCUGCAUGGGAUGUGAGUUAAAUGUUUAAGGUAUCGGAUGGGCAUGCGUCCUAUUAGUUAG